rnacentral:lncRNA from 1 species
GAUGAGUCAAAUUCUGAUGGAUUGUGUUGGAAAUUAGCGAUUUUUUUAGUAGUCUAUAUUAUGUCUAGCGAGUAAUAAGGAUAUCAUGUGUGUGAUUUUUCAUCACCUCAUGUAGUGUGGUUGUAUGAGCUAGUUGGCUGUGGUGUGGAUAGUCAUGAUAUACUCAACUUCUUUUUUAGUAAAUUUAAUAUAAUAUAUCAUAUAUAUUCGAGAUCAAUGAGUUUCACUCAUUUGUAUUUUAC